rnacentral:rRNA from 1 species
AACGAACGCUGGCGGCAUGCCUAACACAUGCAAGUCGAACGAGAUCUUCGGGUCUAGUGGCGCACGGGUGCGUAACGCGUGGGAAUCUGCCCUUUGGUUCGGAAUAACAGUUGGAAACGACUGCUAAUACCGGAUGAUGACGAAAGUCCAAAGAUUUAUCGCCAGAGGAUGAGCCCGCGUAGGAUUAGCUAGUUGGUGUGGUAAAGGCGCAACAAGGCGACAAUACUUAGCUGGUCUGAGAGGAUGAUCAGCCACACUGGGACAGAGACACGGCCCAGACUCCUACGGGAGGCAGCAGUGGGGAAUAUUGGACAAUGGGCGAAAGCCUGAUCCAGAAAUGCCGCGUGAGUGAUGAAGGCCUUAGGGUUGUAAAGCUCUUUUACCCGGGAUGAUAAUGACAGUACCGGGAGAAUAAGCUCCGGCUAACUCCGUGCCAGCCGCCGCAGUAA